rnacentral:misc_RNA from 1 species
CCAUUGGCCAAUUUAAGCUUGGAAUAUGCCAUGGUCACCAGGUCAUUCCAUGGGGUGACUUGGAUUCACUGGCAAUGUUACAGAGGCAGCUGGAUGUUGAUAUCCUAGUAACUGGUCACACCCAUCAGUUCAAAGCCUACAAGCAUGAGGGUGGUGUGGUUAUAAAUCCCGGCUCAGCCACUGGUGCCUACAGUAGUUUCACUUACGAUGUAAACCC